rnacentral:rRNA from 1 species
ACAACCGGGUUCCGUAGGUGAACCUGCGGAAGGAUCAUUACAGAGUUCAUGCCCGAAAGGGUAGACCUCCCACCCUUGUGUAUUAUUACUUUGUUGCUUUGGCGAGCUGCCUUCGGGCCUUGUAUGCUCGCCAGAGAAAACCAAAACUCUUUUUAUUAAUGUCGUCUGAGUACUAUAUAAUAGUUAAAACUUUCAACAACGGAUCUCUUGGUUCUGGCAUCGAUGAAGAACGCAGCGAAAUGCGAUAAGUAAUGUGAAUUGCAGAAUUCAGUGAAUCAUCGAAUCUUUGAACGCACAUUGCGCCCCUUGGUAUUCCGGGGGGCAUGCCUGUUCGAGCGUCAUUUCAACCCUCAAGCUUAGCUUGGUAUUGAGUCUAUGUCAGUAAUGGCAGGCUCUAAAAUCAGUGGCGGCGCCGCUGGGUCCUGAACGUAGUAAUAUCUCUCGUUACAGGUUCUCGGUGUGCUUCUGCCAAAACCCAAAUUUUUCUAUGGUUGACCUCGGAUCAGGUAGGGAUACCCGCUGAACUUAAGCAUAUCA